CUAGCGUUGUUCGGAAUUACUGGGCGUAAAGCGCACGUAGGCGGCUUUGUAAGUUCGAUGUGAAAGCCCGGGGCUCAACCCCGGAAUUGCCUUUAAGACUGCAUCGCUUGAAUCCGGGAGAGGUGAGUGGAAUUCCGAGUGUAGAGGUGAAAUUCGUAGAUAUUCGGAAGAACACCAGUGGCGAAGGCGGCUCACUGGACCGGUAUUGACGCUGAGGUGCGAAAGCGUGGGGAGCAAACAGG
rnacentral:rRNA from 1 species